UACGUAGGGUGCGAGCGUUAAUCGGAAUUACUGGGCGUAAAGCGUGCGCAGGCGGUUCGUUGUGUCGGCGGUGAAAGCCCCGGGCUCAACCUGGGAAUGGCCGUUGAAACUGGCGAACUGGAGUGUGGCAGAGGGGGGUGGAAUUCCGCGUGUAGCAGUGAAAUGCGUAGAGAUGCGGAGGAACACCGAUGGCGAAGGCCGCCCCCUGGGCUGACACUGACGCUCAGGCACGAAAGCGUGGGGAGCAAACAGG
rnacentral:rRNA from 1 species